CCUACGGGAGGCAGCAGUAGGGAAUAUUGCUCAAUGGGGGAAACCCUGAAGCAGCAACGCCGCGUGGAGGAUGAAGGUUUUCGGAUUGGAAAAUUCUUUUGUUAGAGAAGAUAAUGACAGUAUCUAACGAAUAAGCAACGGCUAAUUCCGUGCCAGCAGCCGCGGUAAUACGGAGGGUGCAAGCGUUACUCGGAAUCACUGGGCGUAAAGAGGGCGUAGGGGGGAUAACAAGUCAGAUGUGAAAGCUUAUGGCUUAACCAUAGAACUGCAUUUGAAACUGUUAUUCUAGAGUAUGGGAGAGGUAGGUGGAAUUCUUGGUGUAGGGGUGAAAUGCGUAGAGAUCGAGAAGAAU
rnacentral:rRNA from 1 species